rnacentral:rRNA from 1 species
UGACGGAGGAAGGUGGGGAUGACGUCAAGUCCUCAUGGCCCUUAUGGUAGGGCUUCACACGUCAUACAAUGGUCGGUACAGAGGGUUGCCAAGCCGCGAGGCGGAGCCAAUCCCACAAAGCCGAUCGUAGUCCGGAUUGUUCUCUGCAACUCGAGAGCAUGAAGUCGGAAUCGCUAGUAAUCGCAGGUCAGCAUACUGCGGUGAAUACGUUCCCGGGUCUU